UUGAUUUAGCAAACCGAGCGUUUAGCGAGGUUUUGCGAUCGUUUAUUUAAAACCCACUCUUGAAUGUAAUAUUUAUACGUAUUCUUUGAAUGAUAAAAUUAAAGA
rnacentral:misc_RNA from 1 species